rnacentral:rRNA from 1 species
AUUGAACGCUGGCGGCAGGCCUAACACAUGCAAGUCGAACGAGUGGCGGACGGGUGAGUAAUGUCUGGGAAACUGCCCGAUGGAGGGGGAUAACUACUGGAAACGGUAGCUAAUACCGCAUACCAUCGGAUGUGCCCAGAUGGGUUUAGCUAGUAGGUGGGGUAACGGCUCACCUAGGCGACGAUCCCUAGCUGGUCUGAGAGGAUGACCAGCCACACUGGAACUGAGACACGGUCCAGACUCCUACGGGAGGCAGCAGUGGGGAAUUUUGGACAAUGGAGGAAACGCUGGUCCAGCCAUCCCGCGUGUGCGAUGAAGGCCUUCGGGUUGUAAAGAACUUUUGGCAGGAAAGCGGUACCUGCAGAAUAAGCACCGGCUAACUACGUGCCAGCAGCCGCGGUAAUUC